rnacentral:snRNA from 1 species
GGAUGUGAGGCCUCUGGCUGCAAUGUGUCACCCCGUUACCCAGGGCUGGCUUGGCUUACCUGGCUGGCCAGGUGAGUGCCCCCUUCAUCCUUCACUGUCCGCAUGCUUCCCCCUUGAGGUUGCAUGCUGGGCCAAGGAGGACCAUCUUCUCAAACAGAGGCUGUUCUUCAGAGGAGGGUAUAUAGGUGGCUGUGCUCCCAUACUUGUUUCCAAACAAGCUUUCAAAAUGAGGCAAGGACUCCUGUCAAGAAGAAGUUCUGCUCCAUCUUGUAUGUUGAAAAAUGAAUCCAGUUCAUUUGUAUCACU